rnacentral:misc_RNA from 1 species
GAUGAAGAACGCAGCGAAAUGCGAUAAGUUAUGUGAAUUGCAGAAUUCAGUGAAUCAUCGAAUCUUUGAACGCACAUUGCGCCCGCCAGUAUUCUGGCGGGCAUGCCUGUUCGAACGUCAUUUCAACCAUCAAGCCCCAGGCUUGUGUUGGGGACCUGCGGCUGCCGCAGGCCCUGAAAACCAGUGGCGGGCUCGCUGUCACACCGGGCGUAGUAGAUUUUAUCUCGCUCAGGGCGUGCUGCGGGUUCCGGCCGUUAAAAAGCCUUUUUUACCCAAGGUUGACCUCGGAUCAGGUAGGAAGACCCGCUGAACUUAAGCAUAUCAAUAAGCGGAGGA